UACGUAGGUUGCGAGCGUUGUCCGGAUUUACUGGGCGUAAAGCGCGCGCAGGCGGUCCUGAAAGUCGAGCGUGAAAGCUCCCGGCCCAACUGGGAGAGGCCGUUCGAAACUUCAGGACUUGAAGGCGGGAGAGGCAAAUGGAAUCUCCGGUGUAGCGGUAAAAUGCGUAGAUACCGGAAGGAACACCAGUGGCGAAAGCGAUUUGCUGGCCCGCCCUUGACGCUCAGGCGCGAAAGCUAGGGGAGCGACCGGG
rnacentral:rRNA from 1 species